rnacentral:rRNA from 1 species
GCGGUAUGCCUAACACAUGCAAGUCGUACGAGAGUUUUUAACUCAAGUGGCGGACGGGUGAGUAACACGUGAGAAUUUGCCUUUAGGAGGGGGACAACAGCUGGAAACGGCUGCUAAUACCCCAUAUGCUUCCGAGUGAAAUGAAUUUAUUCGCCUAAAGAGAAGCUCGCGGCUGAUUAGCUUGUUGGUAGGGUAAGAGCCUACCAAGGCGACGAUCAGUAUCUGGUUUGAGAGGACGAUCAGACACACUGGANCUGAGACACGGUCCAGACUCCUACGGGAGGCAGCAGUGGGGAAUUUUCCGCAAUGGGCGAAAGCCUGACGGAGCAAUACCGCGUGAGGGAAGACGGCCUAUGGGUUGUAAACCUCUUUUUUCAGGGAGGAAUAAAUGACGUGUACCUGAAGAAUAAGCAUCGGCUAACUCCGUGCCAGCAGCCGCGGUAAGACGGAGGAUGCAAGUGUUAUCCGGAAUCACUGGGCGUAAAGCGUCUGUAGGUUGUUGAACAAGUCAACUGUUAAAUCUUGAGGCUCAACUUCAAAAUCGCAGUCGAAACUGUUUGACUAGAGUAUAGUAGGGGUAAAGGGAAUUUCCAGUGGAGCGGUGAAAUGCCGUAGAUAUUGGAAAGAACACCGAUGGCGAAGGCACUUUACUGGGCUAUUACUGACACUCAGAGACGAAAGCUAGGGUAGCAAAUGGGAUUAGAUACCCCAGUAGUCCUAGCCGUAAACAAUGGAUACUAGAUGUUGAACAGAUCGACCUGUGCAGUAUCAAAGCCCACGCGUUAAGUAUCCCGCCUGGGAAG